CAGGUAAUUUGCCUGUGUCUGCUUGUUUAGGUCUUGUUUCAUGUUAACAAUGGUGCUGGUAGGAUAACAGCCACAUAUGAGCCCAAACCUACCAAUACUCUCUGUGAUGGAAAAUGGCAUACACUUCAGGCUAACAAAAGCAAACACCGUGUUGUUCUGAUUGUCGAUGGGAAAACAGUUGUUGCUGAAAGUCCACACACCCAGUCCACCUCGGCGGACACCAACAAUCCCAUUUAUGUUGGUGGCUAUCCUGCUGAAGUAAAGCAGAACUGCCUGAGCAUCCAGACCUCGUUUCGGGGGUGUUUGAGAAAGCUCACGUUCAUUAAGGGCCCACAUGUGCAAUCCUAUGACUUCAGCAGAGCUUUUGACCUACAGGGAGUUUUCCCCCAUUCCUGUCCUGGGACUGAACCCUGACUCCAGACAAAAUCCUCAGUUGGAAUCCUUGCUUAUAUUUUGAGAAGAAUUAUUUUUACAAAUUAAAAUCUCUUCAAUUCAGAUUUCAUUCCAACUCAGGUUAAGUGUUUCCGCAGAGAAAUAUGUUUAUAUUAAAGUAAAGCCACAUGUACAACGAAUACCUCUAUUAAAUAGUCUAAAAUGUAAAUUGAAUUAAUUGGCUGUCUUUUUUUAAAGCUUUUUAAAAAUAAAUAUUUGUAAACAUUGAGUGUUUUGUUGAUUACUUGACAGUAUUUCAUAUUUUGCAUUUUGAGCUUUUAAAAAUAAAAUAUUACAGACUAUAAUAGAUUAA